CAGUAAACACUCGUCCUUUGUCUGGGCCCUGGGGGAGGGGAUGGGGGGCCCUCGGGCUGUCAGCACCCCCCUCCCCCUUCCGGGAAAACCAACCAGUCAGACUGGUUUGGGCUAGGCAGAGGCUAGGGUCCCGGCUCGGACGGCCCCUCCUUCCCCAAGCCGCGCGGAGCUCCGGUUACCCCGGAGCCGUCCCUGAGCCCCACAGCCUCCAUCUCCCAUCCUGGGGCUCCCCAGAAGUGCAUUUCCUGCAGCGGCCAGGACCAGGAGGCUCCGCGCCGGCCGCGCUCCGUCCCGCGGGCAGGUGGCUGGAGGACAUGGGCGCCGCGGAGCCCCGGCUAGGACCAGGGGAGCCCCGGGGAUACCAGCAGCUUCCUGUUUUCAGGCCUCCUCUCUGCAGUUCAUUCUGAAAGGCUCCGUUCUGGAAUCACCUCCAUAAAGCCUUCUUUAAGCCGUCUUCCACUCCGACCCCUACCCAGGUUCCCUGCAGAGUCCUCUUCCUUCCCCAAUUUUCUGGGAGAGUGCCCAGCCCUUUAUCGGGGACACACAGUACCUGCAAAGUUUCAGGGGAACAUGCCGUAUGGCCUCUUGUAGGCUCCACAGCAAGGAUUUCUUUGCUGAUUUCUAGGUGGCCAGAAUCUAGCACAAUACUUGGCAAGGUCUAAGGUCUUAAGUUCCAUCUACUUCUGCCCUUUGGUUCUGGAUCUCUAGAGCCUGAGGCGGGGCAGGACAAUAAUAGAACUGGAUGAGAGCAACCCAUCUCCCAAACCAAAGGACAUCAAUCAGCCUGGUAGAUUUCAUCCCAUGACCCUUGCAGGUGUGGAAGGCCCAGAAGAGACCGAGAAUGGAUGUCUCUCGUACAGCCUCAGAAAUGGCUUAGUCCAACACCAGUUGGGAACGAGGCAGGUGUGGCGAGGGGACUGAGAACCAGAUUUGUUGACACAUCGUUGGCAUUUCCAACACAAGACUCUUGUCACUCCAGGAACUGAUGGGGAGGCAAUACCAGCCAGAGGAUCUGGAUUCAAAUCCUGGCUGGUGACGGUAGCUGUUUCCCCAUCUCUCUUUGCCUCAAAUUGUUCAUGUUAAACAAUGGAUUUGGACUAGAUUGGGCAUCAGGAUGGGCAGGUGCGAGAACCAUGUUUCCAAGAAUUGUGUCCUCUCAUAGCAAUUCUAGGCUGCACUAUCACCUUAAUUUCCACUACACAGUCUUCGGGUGACAACACCCCUUUUCCAAGGAUUUGCCUAAGUGGUCUAUCUUACUGGUAACCACAUGCUCUUGGAAGCUGUCCCAGUAACUAAGGGAAAUGACAGCCUUUGGAUAGAAGCUUGUUUUUCCAGCCUGGGAAGGGCAGGGUCAUGGAUUCUGAGGGGGAACCUCUAUAGAAGAGGGAAGACCCAAACUCAGCAAGGAAAACAUACUUCUUUCAAGAAGGGACUUUUCCUCCAGAAUAGCAGCAGCACAUAGUCAUGACAAGCUAUUUCUUUCCUCAUUCAUGGCAGGGACAGUGGUGCUGGGAAUAUGAUUAGAGGAGUAAUAUAAUCUUUCAACCUGUAUGCCCCAAGGCUUGACACAUCCUUGCAGAUCAAGGAAGGGAAUUUGUCACACUUAGAAGGCAAUGAAAUGAAAGACCAGCUUAGUUUUCACUAGACUGAUGGGGUCAGUCCAACAGGAGUCUCCUAAAACCUGGGGGAAGUGAGAGGUGGUCCCUGGACAAAUUUUACCCAUCUCCAGGGAUCCCCAUGAGGCCUAUACUCAAUACUGCAUUUAAGAAAACCGGUUAUAUAACCGAAAAAUUCCUGAAAAAGUUUGUGUGAACCAAACAAUUUCAAAUGUCCACAAGGACAAGUAGUCUGAAAGGUGUGGGGAGUGCCCCAAAAUACCCAUACCCCUUUGAAUCAGUUUUCACUGGUAGCCAACAAGAGUCCAAGAAGGUAAUGGCUUCCCGGAGUCAAUGCUGGUUUCCAGCUCUGGCUAGCCUCCCUCCCCUUACUCAUUUCAUUUAGCUCGUGCAGUAGUAGCUGGCAGAAAGGUACUCUGGAACUCCUGCUCCUCCAAAAACCCUGGAACCACUGAAAUGCUAAGCUGCAAAGGCCUUCCUACCCUGUGCUGGGGCCUAAGACUAUCCCCAAACUGUCCCAGUUCUUUACUGUUCCCGGCAAGUACAAACUAUCAGCUGGAAAUAAAUGUUUGCUCAGUUGGA